rnacentral:rRNA from 1 species
GGGCAUGCGCAGCUAUACUGCAAGUCGAGCGAUGGAUUAUCAGCUUGGUCUUAUGAAGUUAGCGGCGGACGGGUGAGUAACGCGUGGGUAACCUGCCCAUAAGACUGGGAUAACUCCGGGAAACCGGGGCUAAUACCGGAUAACAUUUUGAACCGCAUGGUUCGAAAUUGAAAGGCGGCUUCGGCUGUCACUUAUGGAUGGACCCGCGUCGCAUUAGCUAGUUGGUGAGGUAACGGCUCACCAAGGCAACGAUGCGUAGCCGACCUGAGAGGGUGAUCGGCCACACUGGGACUGAUACACGGCCCACACUCCUACGGGAGGCAGCAGUAGGGAAUCUUCCGCAAUGGACGAAAGUCUGACGGAGCAACGCCGCGUGAGUGAUGAAGGCUUUCGGGUCUUAAAACUCUGUUGUUUCGGAAGAACAAGUGCUACUUGAAUAAGCUGGCCCCUUGACGGCACCUAACCAUAAAGCCACGGCUAACUACGUGCCAACAGCCGCGGUAAUACGUAGGUGGCAAGCGUUAUCCGGAAUUAUUGGGCGUAAGGCGCGCGCAGGUGGUUUCUUAAGUCUGAUGUGAAAGCCCACGGCUCAACCGUGGAGGGUCAUUGGAAACUGGGAAACUUGAAUGCUUAAGAGGAAAGUGGAAUUCCAUGUGUACCGGUGAAAUGCGUAAAUAUAUGGAGGAACACCAGUGCCGAAGGCGACUUUCUGGUCUGUAACUGACACUGAGGCGCUAAAGCGUGGGAAGCAAACAGGAUUACAUACCCUGGUACCCCACGCCGUAAACGAUGAGUGCUAGAUGUUAGAGGGUUUCCGCCCUUUAGUGCUGAAGUUAACGCAUUAAGCACUCCGCCUGGGGAGUACGGCCGCAAGGCUGAAACUCAAAAGAAUUGACGAGGGGCCCGCACAAGCGGUGAAGCAUGUGGAUUUAAUUCGAAUCAAUCGCGAAAAACCCUUACCAGGUCUUGACGUCCUUGUGACCACCUUCUGAGCAGAUAGAGAUUACUCCAUUCUGUGGACCUACAGUGACAGAGUGGUGCCAUGGGUUGUCCUGCAUCUCGUGUCGUGAGAUGUUGAGAUAAUUUCGCUCAACGACGCG